rnacentral:rRNA from 1 species
CCCUGCCAUUUGUACACACCGCCCGUCGCUCCUACCGAUUGAAUGUUCCGGUGAACACUCGGGAGCCGUGACGUCGUCGAGGCAACUCGGUCGGCGUCCAUCGGCAAACUUGUGUAAACCUUAACAUU